rnacentral:lncRNA from 1 species
AGUGUUCACACAGGGACAGGACCAGACCUGGGCCCACAUCUGUUUUCACUCCAGGGUAGUUCUUUCAAGUUUGAUUUCCAUUUUAGGCUCUUGAUUAUUUUAAAAUAUCUAUCUAAGGUCACAAAGAAGGCAAAACUGGAACAGUUGCUUUGACAAUUUCUGGCAGUGUCGACACUCAAGCCAGGACACUUAGAGAUCUCUACAUUUAUUGUGUUUUCUUCCAAUUGAUCAUUGUUAUUAUUUUUUAGAUAAUAAUGUUUAUUUUUUGUUCUUUUUAGAUGUACAUAAUAGUAGGGUAUUUUGACAUAUCACACAUACAUGGAGUAGAAAGCCUCAUUCUUGUGGUUGUACAUGACGUGGUGUUACACUGCUCAUGUGUUCGUAUACAAACAGAGGAAAGUGGUGUUCCACUCAUUCUACUGUUGUUCCUGUUCACACCCACCCUCUUCCCUUCAUUCCCUUCUGUCUUAUCCACUGAACUUUUGUUCUUCCCCCACCCCUUAUUGUGUGUUAGCAUCCCCAUAUCAGAGAGAACAUUCAGCCUUUGGUUUUUAGGGACUGGCUUAUUUCACUUAACAUGAUGCUCUCCAUUUCAUCCAUUUACUGGCAAAUGCCACGACUCUAUUCUCUUUAUGGCUGAGUGAUAUUCCAUUGUGCAUAUAUACCACAUUUAAAAAAAAAUCCAUUCAUCUGUUUUAAAGGGCACCUAGAUUGGUUCUAUAGUUUAGCUACUGUUAAUUGAGCUGCUAUAAAUAUUGAUAUGGCAUGUGGCUGCAUCACUGUGGUAUGCUGAUUUAAAAUCCUUUGGGUAUAGACAAGGAAUUGUAUAACUGGGUGGUUCCGAUUCAGGUUUCCUGAGGAAUCUCCAUACUGCUUUCCAGGGUGGUUGCAAUAAUUUGCAGUCCCACCAGCAAUAUAUGAGUGUGCCUUUUCCCCUACAUCCUUGCCAACAUUUAUUGUUACUUGCAUUCUUUGAUAAUUGCCAUUCUGACUGCAAUGAGAUGAAAUCUCAGUUUAGUUUUAAUAUGCAUUUCUCUAAUUGCUAGAGCCAACCAAUUAUUAAACAACCCUGCUCUCUUUCCUCGACUGACUAUGUUCAGAACUGGCAUCAUUUAGGUGAGCAUAUGCUUCAGGCAGCAAGUUCCCGCAGGUGCCUGGAGGCGGCCAGGCACAGGGAGGGCUCAUAGAUCAAGCAUUGUGAUGGCCCUUGCCUGACUCUCUUAGUUUAGUUUUCUUUGGCCAGUUAUCUUCCUUAGGGAAGUGCUGCUUUUACUGAUUUUUUUUUUCAAUCUGGUGAGACUUUAGAAAUCUGCUAUAAAGGAAUACUGCAAAUCCUCUUUUUAUGUGAAGGUGAUUAUUUCCACAUUAUGGAAAGCAUAUUAUGCUCAAAGAAAAAACUUUUAAAAAUCUUCAGGAGCCACAUAGAGGUCAUAGCAUUUUAGAUGUGGAGGGAGCAUCCCAAUCACCCAGUUCAGUGCCUCAUGAUGCAGACAGGGACGCUGAGGUCCAGUAAAUCCCAAGAGUGUGAGCAAGUGGUAGCCGAGGAGGGACCCAGUGUCCUCUUUAUGACUGCACUGUGGGCAUCUGAUGUCUGCUCUUAUUCUAAAAAUGGGCAGAGCAACUAAAAAAUACAUCCUCGUUCAGAGACAGGCAAGUAAUAAUCAUGAUCGCAGGACCUGUCAGUGGAGCCCUUAAUGGUUUAUAAAAUCUUAAACACACAGAAGUCUGGAUAUGUAAAAUGAGGUUUUUUAGGCAUCUUGUGAAAUAGUAUUAAUUCAUCAACUUUUUACCCCUAUGGGAUUUUGUUGUCAGAUUCUGAAGCAAUUUCUUUUUUAAAAUUUGUUUUAAUUAAUUACACAUGACAGUACAAUGAUCUUGACAUAUCAUACAUUUGAAUCAGAUGGGAUAUAAUUUCUCAUUUUUCUGAGUGUACUGGUUGCAGAAUCACAUUGGUCAUGCAGUCACAUAUAUACCCACAGCAAUAAUAAUGUCUAUUUUAUUCUGCUGUCAUUCUAUUCCCCCCUUCCCCACCCUCCCUUCCCAUCUCUUCUCUCUACCCAAUCUAAUGUGAUACACUUCUUCUUUUUUUCCCCUCACAUCUUUAUACCUGAAUUCUGUAUAACGAAUAGGGUCUCCUUCCCUCUUCCAUGCAAUUCUCAUUCUCCCUCCCUUUCCCUCCCACCUCUCUUCCCUAUCUAGAGGUAAUUUUCUUCUCAUGCUCUUCCUUCCUACCCCAUUUUGAGUCACCUCCCUUACAUCAGAGAAGACAUUUGGCAUUUGUUUUUUUGGGACUGGCUAACUUCUGAAGCAAUUUCUGAAUUCUCAAAGAAGAAAACCAUUUAAGAAAGGAAGCCAGAUUACUGGAUUAUUUCACUUUGGUUAUGAUCUCUAUUUAAUUUCUUUUAACUAUAAUAACAUUCCUUAGGUAAAGAAGCUAACAUGGAAUUUUCUGAGGUUAGUUACCAAAAUUUGGCAAUUUAAGUGAGUUUUUAAAUUUCAUCUGCUGAAGAUGUAGUAGUAAUGUUUGUAUUUUUUUUUUUUUUUGAACCAGGAAUUGAACCCGGGGUACUUAACCACUGAACCACACCCCCAGUCCCUUUUUAUAUUUUACUUAAGAGAUAGGGUCUCAGGGAGUAGCUUAGGGCCUUGCUAAGUUGGUGAGGUUGAUCUUGAACUCACAAUCUUUCUGCCUCAUCCUCCCAAGUCACUGGGAUUAUUAUAGGUGUGUGCCACUGUGCCUGGCAAGGGUUUGUGGGUUUUGAUAAUUGCACAAGAGAUUUUAAGGUUUGGAUAGAGCAAGGAAAUCUGGCGUCAUGAUUUAGACUCAAGUUUCCCAAAUCCUUCAGAUUUGAGUGGCAGGUUCUUGGAAGGAGCAGGGAGCUACAGAAUGGCCUUGGUGGCAGCAGUGCAGCCUGAUGACAGGACUUACUGCCCACAUGCCAGUGUGAAGAAGGGUGGGGAGGCAUCUAGUCAGCUUUGGAAAUUGUACAGCAGCAUUCACGUGGGGGUUGAUUAACAAGAACAGCUGCCUUGCCCUAAGGCUGCCCUCACUGCAGUCCUAUGUCACUGUCCCCAGGCUCCCCUUCAAGGGUGUGCUCUGUCCUCAUCUUAGAAAUCACAAUGGAGAACCUGAGGUGAAGCUGGUGUCUGCUGCUUGCCCCAGGCUGGUCAGCCCAGUUGUGGCCAUGCUGGGUGUAAGACAGGGCAGCUGGCCCCAAAGCCCUCGAACUCCCAUUGAACGCUUGUUAUUACACGAAAGAAACUUUGGUGAAACGACUUUCUGCUUUCCUUCAGAAUGUGCUCCAAGAGAUCAGCAUUUCCUGUCUCUGGACAAGCUGAGCUGGUAGCCCAGACUUUUAAUUCCCCUGCCUGUGCCCUGGGGCUAGCUGCUCCUUCUCUGGCCUCCUGCUCCUCCUGCUUGGUCAGCACACAGCAGGAUUGCAGAUGAGCCUGGGCACGGCAGCCCUUGGUGUGCGAGACGAGUUCUGGGGUACCUGGAUCUGGAAUCCUAGGCAGAAAGGCCGGACACCUGGGGCUACUGCCACGUAAGCAACCUGCAACCUGGACCCUCUCGCUGUCUCAGUAGUGAGAAAAGCCUGUUUUCGUUUCUUCUUUUGCCAAGCCCAUCUGGACAGAACAGGUGCAGGGCUGGGGCCUCAAAAUAGCAGCCUUUUUCCGAGUGAUGUGGCACUGUGGAAACCCCCUUGCCCCUCCACCUUGCAUUCAGAUUGGAGAGAUGAUGAAAAUCUGCCACCUCAGGGCAUUUUCUGACUUCUCCAGGACAUUUCAUUUUUCAGUUGACCCCUCUAGUUUCCCCAUUUGUAAGCUACAGAGCAUGUCCUUGGUGAUUUGAAGGUCACUUCUGGCUUUGAGAUCCAUUUCUAUGUUUCCAAUUAGAGCUCAGGUUGUGGAAUCCACCCAGCAAUGUGAAUCCCAGUAAUGUGAAUCCCAGCAAUGUGAUCCCAGCAGGAUCAGGGAGAAAUCGUUAUUCCUGACGGCUGGAGCCCACCACCCUGACACCCCAGGUGCUCUGCACCAGCAACCCUCCCCAAGCUGGUCGACACUCUCCACAUCUUCAGCAAGACCUGAUGUGUGUGCUAAGGAUCAUGGAAAAUGGCAGAUGGCUGUAUUAAACUCUGGGAGGGUUGUUUCCAUGAUAACUGCACUUCCUUUAUGCUUAAGAAUGAAAGAUUUCUCUCAAAAGUUGUAAAUCCUUAGUGAUUGGACUUUACAGGAUUGUUAUUUAUUAAAAUGUAGUAAUUCUAGAAACCCAUGGAGAAGGUGUUAUCAUUCCUACUUUAUGAGGAGGGAGAGCGAGUCUCAAGAUGCAGCCCUUGUUCCUUCUCUGUGGGUUCUUGGGGAAUUAAAUGAGAGAAAAGAUGUGGUGCUGUUCUGAAAACAAAGCCUCCAUCUUCCAAAGUACAAUGUAAACCCUCCUCAUGGGCUGGGGCUGAACUCAGUGGUAGAGCACUUGCCUAGCAUGUGAGGCACUGGGUUUAAUCCUCAGCACUACAUAAAAAAAUAAUUAAUUAAAUAAUGAUUAAAAAUUAAACUUAACAUUAAAAAAUAAAAAGCCCUCCUCAGUCCCCCACUGGCUAGGUGGAGAUUGUGAGGGGGGCUCUUCUUUUUGGAGCUGUACUAGGCACUGAGGACACUUAGGGUCCAACCAUGAGUUCCUCUCUAUUUACACACAUGAGUUAGUGAUUGGCCUCAAAGCUGGAAAAUAAGUUUGUGAUGGGCCUCUGAUCUCAAAUAAACUAGCAAUUUUUUAGAUGAAGCAAAAUGAAUACCAAUUGCUCAAUUAGAGAUCAAGGUAACUCAGGAAAUGACCAACUGAUAUAUUGGGCACGAGGUGCCCAAGCAGAGCAGGUAACGUCUCCCAGGGUUGGACUCUGGUCCUGUUUUUAGGGGUAGUGGAGGGCCAGUAUGGCUGCUCAUCUGAAGAAGUCAAGACCACAGGCUGUGGCUUUCAGCACUAGGGGAAAAGGCAAGGAAGUUGUGUACUGCUGGUAAGACACUGACGUGGGUUAUUCAAAAUGAUCAAUGUGAUCGCUAAGUAGGAAGAAGGUGUGCCGUGAAAUACCUGUAAGUGACAGAAAUUGACCACAGGACGUAGCAAUGGUGCCACUGACCCAGUGGCCAUGUAUAAAGACACACAGAUAAAUGUUAGAAAAGAAUGGGUGAGGGCUGGGAUAUAGCCUAGAGGUGGAGUGUGCCAAGCAUGCACUGGGCCCAGAGCUCUGUUCUCUCUCUCUCUCUCUCUCACACACACACACACACACACACACACAAUGUGAGAAAACAACCGAUGUGUUAGGGUUGUGGAUUUAUGGAUGAAUUCCAAAAACAUCCCUUUUUAUUAUCCCUUUGCCUUUAAUAGCUGACAUAGGCCGGACAUUUUGAAUAACUUCACACUGAAUCAUGACUCAGAUUGAACACUGUCCCUGCCCUGGGCAAGGGCCCCAUCCUUCUUUGGUGCAGGGCUUCCUCUCUGGCAUUCAUGGUGAUCUCUAUCUUAAAUUGUUGGAUUUUUUUUGUUUGUUUGUUUUUAAAAAAAUAUAACAGAUCCAUUGCACAGGAUGAAAUCUUGUCUCCUUCAAGUGAAUUUCUGGGGAUUUUCCUUCUCAAAUUCCCCACAACUAAUAUUGAAUCCAAAGGAAGGGAGAAGCCUUGGUAUUAGGGACUGGCCUGCUACUUCUUUAGAAAACACCCCAUUCCCCUAACACCCAGGCAGCUCCCUUCACGAACAGCAGGAUACAACUGCCAGCUUAGCAAAUGGAUAAUUCAGGAAGGAUUUAUCUUUUCCUUUGGAAGGUGGAGCCUUCAAUUUCAAAACAACUCCUUAUGAACUUUUUUUUUGGCUUUGGGGAACACAUUGAUUUCAUGGGGUGACUGCCCUGGAGGUAUAAUGAAAACCCAGGGCUGGGCCCCCACAGCUUGCAUAGCUGCGUUCCUGCGAAGGGGAAGAGUGUGAAGACCAGCAAGUGUGGCCCUUGGUUUGUCCCAGUGUCAGUUCAAUCAAGUCACGUUGCCUUGGCCCACACAGGCUUGUCCUGUGAAGACAGCUGAAAAAAAUAUCUGGGUGUCUGUGCCCGUCUAAUGAUCAGAUCACUUCCCCUGAAUCAGAAAUUAAUAAGACAGGAAGACUCUGGUCCUUCCUGCCACCACAGGGGAGUCUGGGCCCUGAGCUGACUUCUCAAGGUGUGAGAAUGGAAAAGAGAGAGGACAGGCAGAGCCCUAAGGCCUGGCCUCCAGUCUUGUGUCCACCUCAGCUGUGGACUAUGUUAAGUCUGUCAGCUGCUCGAAGGCCCAUCUCUCUGUUUAUUAGAGGGGGUUGUCUUGUCCUUCUGACCAUUGUCCUCCUAGUUUAUAAAUUGACCUUAUCCAUUUUUUUUUAUCAAUUCUAAUCUAAUCCCCAUUCCUCUGUUACUUUUAGUUGGCUCCCCGAGGGGCAUUGGUGCCCAGUUCAUUCUGUAAUAAUUUUUGCUUGUUGGUACCCCCAAGAAAGCUUUUCUUUUUGGCAAGGAUGUUUCUUUCUCAGGAACUCGGAGAGCAGGUGUUGUGACGGCCAGGUGCUGUGUUCCCUCACUGUGCCCUGCUCUCUUGGGGCUCUUGUCCAAACUACCACCCUUCCCAGUGAUUCUGUCUUUAGAGUCUUUCUCGUGUACAAAAAUAGUCAUAACCCAAGAGUAAAAAGUUACCAACUUUUUACAUAAAUCCUGGAAUGUUUAUAGAUCUAGUAUUUUUUCUUAUCAUAAAUGAAGGCAAUAAAUUCACAAAAGCAGUUUUUUUUCUUGUAACUAAAUGAGGUUGUUUGAGAAAUUUGGACACACACACACACACACACACACACAGUCUUUUCCAGUUGUGAAAUAAUUCAGAAUUGCUCAGGGAAGGAUGCAGUUCUUUCCUGGCCAGCUCAAAGACCUCUCGCCUCUGUUCAACCUGUGGACAGGCCCUGCCGACCACUGUAAGUGCCCAUUGUGUAUACAGAGAGCAUAGCUACAACCCUGGGUACAGGUUGUUCAUGCAGUUAAUCUAGAUCAUCUGGGGUCAUCAGAAGUGAGAACAUUUCUAGCUGAGAAGGAACACAAGAAAUUCUUGUUCUACAAGGGCAGCAGAAGGAUGGCAGCAGUCCCUGGAGGCUCAGGUGAAGAGUGGGUGACAGGAGGGACUCUUCCUGGAGGCCUGGGCCAUCAGGUCCCCUGGCCUUGUUCUAGGAGGGUGACUGCAGAAGAGAGAGCUUUGAACUCAGAGGGCAGGUAUCUGAGAGGUGACUUCUCCACUUGGGUAAGCCUCCAUCUCCCUGGUCCUGCUUCUUCAUGUAAACUGAGGAAGUAGUGUCACACUCUGUGAGUCAUUGUACCCAAAAAACAAACAAACAUAACCACACUUGGAGAAAAACAGCUCAUGUAACUUCUACAAACACAUCAGCCAUCAGCAAUUCCUUUAUACAUGCACUCAUUGAUUUAUCCAGCAAAUGCUCAUAUGACUACGGCACUGUGCUCUGUGCUAAGUUCUGUCGAAUCUGUAAAAUUAUAUAAAUCAAAGUGCAAAAAUUCUAGUUCAGGUCUCAGUGCUAGGAGAAUCAUAAAAGGAAGUGUGGAAAUAGGGAGAGACUUCCUGUAGGUCUCAAGCUGCUGCCCUGACCCUCGGUGCUGUCAUGGCCUGCAGCUCCCAAGGGCAGCCCUGCCAGUCUCUAUGUGAUGGACAAUUUUAGGAGCUUAUAUUUUGAUAGGAAAUAAGCACAGAGAUACUCUGAUCUUACAUAAACCAAAAUACCAUGUGGGGGGUAACGUGCCUCGAAUACUUGACUAGAGUGAUGUGAGGAGUCAGGGGGCCACCUCUGGGCGUAGUCAGAGGGGUUUUUACUAUGCACCUACAAUCUCUUUGGGGAGAGGGAAUGUUUUUUUAAGUCAGGUGGAAAUAGACCAAGUUUGUUGUUCAGACACACCCGCAGAUGAGUUGCUCAUGAAUUAAGAGGUUGGUGGCCUUGCUGGCACCACAGUUAAGCCAUUUGCACGUCAUUAUUUCAGAGGGUGCCAAGAAUCCUGCCACAUGGUGACAGUGUUGUGUGCAACUAUCCUAUCAAACAGACUUAUUGGAAACACAUUUUAGAAACUUGUUGAUGGCACUGAUCAGUUCUUACUGCUUAUUAGAUCUUCCUUAGGAAGGGCACUCACUGUUCUUUCUUGCAUAAUAAUUAGGGGUUAUUGUAUUUCUGGGCAAUUCAUUUUUGAAAACCAAGCUCAGGGUGAGGGUAGAUAGAGCUGAUUGCGAGGAAGAGAGACGGCCUCUGUGUGAGGGGUAGGGAGAUGGGGGUGGAUUAUGUCAUUUCUCACACACUCCUGUCUCACCUCUCCUGUUUCAAGGACUUUGAUUUCUUUUUUAUUUUAUUAUCAGUACAGGAGAUUCUGUCUGCUUCUGUAAGCCUUUACAGCCUUCCAAGGAUGGCGGAGGUGGGGGAGGGCAGCAUAGACAAGCUAAUCUGAGGGCACAGGAAGCCUUCUGGCCCUUUGGCUGGAGUGGCUCUUGUCACUGAUGUUGCAGUCCCAGGAAAUCUUCCCCUCUCCAGGUGGGCUGCUCUGGUAGUAGUCAGUGGAGGCUCCAAAUCUCCACUGCCCUCUCUAAUAAUGGAACCCUGGCACCGGGAGGGGUAGGCAGCUGAUUGGCUCAAUGCACAGAAACUCCCAGAAACCCACACUGGACAGGGCCCUGUGGUUGGAAAUGUCUUCAGAGCUUACUGUCUCCGUUUCUCUGCUUUUCCUCCUGCUUCCCCAGUGUUUCCAUCUCUGUUUUCUUCUUUCUCUCAUCAUGUCUGUCUGUCUGUCUGUCUGCUCUCUCUCCUCCGCCCCCUUGGUUGUGGUGCUGGGGAUUCACCCAGGGCUACUCUGCUACUGAGCUACAUACCCAGCCAUUUUUAUUUAGAAACAGAAUCUUGCUAAGUGACCCUGCCUGGUCUUGGACUUUAAUCCUCCUGCCUCAGCCUCUUGGAGAGUUGGCCUUACAGGUGUGCACCACACACCCGGUUUCCUUGCUCUAUUCAUUAUCAUUCCCCUGUAAUCAUUUCAAAUAUUUAAUUGUACACAUUAUGGAAUUAAAAGAUGAACAACUUGCUACAUAAAAGGCUGUAUAAUAUAUAUGCCCACACCCACAGAAUAUUUUCUAUUUUUUUUAAAAAAAGAAUUAAAAAACCCUGACUCAAAAUGACAAUAAGAAGGGCUAGGGACUGGUAAUGUUGCUCAGUGGUAAAGUACCCCUGGGUUCAAUCCUCAGUUCAAAAAAAAAAAAAAAUUAGAAUAUCUAGAAGAAUGUAAAUGGGGGUUGACUAUGUGUUUGGAUGGGUGAUCCUGAAUCCAGGAUUUUCUUAUGUCUGGAUUAUUGUCUUUGGUGGGUAACAGAGAGUCUCUCCCGGGAACUCAUGUGGCCCCUGAGUCUGUGGAGCACAGGGAAGCCGAGAGGCAUUAGGUGGGCAUCCUUCCCACUUUACUCAGGUCGUAGGAGCAGGUCUAAGCUUUUGUUAGGUGACUUAGGCUCUGGAAGUCGCAAGUGAGCAUUUGAGUGUCCUGCUGCAGUUCCAUGAGGCCGGGGAUUUUCGUGUCCUCCCGAUCCAUGUGUACCCUUCCCACCCGCCUCCCUGUCUCUGGCUCACAGGCCAUAUGCUCAUAAAUAUCCAUAGGGUGAAAGAACUCAGGUAUUUAUGUGGCCUUAGAAGCUGUUGGAGACUGGGUUGAAUAUGUUAUGAUUCCCCAAGGUGUUUUUUUAUUUUCUCAUGAUGUUAGUUUUUUUCCCUUGUUAUUUGUCUGUGCAGAGUGAAGGGCAAAGAAAAAAAAAUUGCAGCCAUCACAGAACUUCGGUAAAAUACCCCCACUUACCUGCCUACGAACCAGGUGGGCAGAGGGCAGGUCUAAGUGGCAUGUGGCCCAGAGAGAGUCUAAGAUGUCUUGAGUCCAGAGCCCCCUUCUCUGCAGGCCCUUUGCUCCCUGACCAGCUAGGUUGUUGGACCACUUGAGAUUACGUGCUGACGACUGAAGAAUGUGUGUGUGUGUGUGUUUGUAUAAAAUAUUGAUUUUUUUUUUGGAAAAUACAUCUUUUAUACUAAUCCUGCAACAGUUUAUAAGAUCCAUCAUGGCCUCAGCUAGGGUGGGUGGGAGGAAAUGCCCCAGAUUGAACUGUUCCUUAGGCCUGGGGGGAGGUACAGAAUCAGCAAAUAGUGCCUCCACCUGGUGCCUCAGUUUCUUCAUCUUUACAAGAUAUUUUUUUCUCACUUUUGCAUGUUAGAUAGUUGGGGAUGAACAGAAAGAAUGCAAGGUAUUAUUGGAUAGUGGGAGAAACAAAUGUUUUGGGAUGAGCUUAGGAAGGACCCACAUGGAAUUAGUGCAGGGGGGAACAUCCACGGGGCUCAGCCAUGGGCCUGGAGAACCUGUCAGCAAUCGAGAACAUGAAAAGAUCACUGACCAAGUUUGCACCAUGGCCUAUACUGAGUGGAUUUUGCACAAUGUUUCAAUUACGGGUCAGGAUGAUGCUGAGGUAGAGGUUUCAUUGCUCUUGUCUUAUAGUAGACAGAGAGCUAAAGAUGAAGAGGAGGUAAAUAAAUUUACAAUGAUGGAUUCCCACGUGAGAGUUCAGUAUUCCAUCUUCUUAAUCAGAGGGCUGGAGUGCUGUGAUUACCUAUGAGGUCACCCAGGGUGUCGAGGAUUCCCCAGGCUGGCCAUUCACACUGGUGGAUGAUGGGAUGCACCUUCUCUGACUUCUAGUAUGUGUGUUAGGUGCCCUUCCUGUGCUGAGCCAUCUAGACCUCCUCUCCCCCCACCAGAAUGCUCCAUGUUGCAAUUUCUGGCUCCUUGUUUCCACGCUAGGCCAGGAGCAUUGUGAGUCUGAGAGUCUUGUCUUGUCCACUGGGGUAUCUUCAGAGCAUCUCCCCACACAUAGGAGAUGCUCAUAGAUGUCCAUGGAAAGAAUGAAGGUGGGCGUCCACACAUACAAGCACACAGACAAGCUUUUCCUAUAGUUGUAGGGUUGUCUGGUGUAGAAAGGUAGACAAAUGGCCCUGUAGCUUGUGUAAGGACUGACAGAUGGGUGCCAGGACAUGUGGGUGGAUAUAUGCAUAGAUGCGAAGGGACAUGGUAGAAGAGGGAACUUCUGUCAUGCCCUCUAGAAGUUCACUGAAAUCUAUUCUGAAAUGUUGAUGGAGUUCAUCCCUGUCCUUCCCUGUCUCUCAUCCCUGAAAUGGAGAAACUAUUUAGCAAACUAUUCCUUGCUAUUCGGGUACCUCCAGGACCUCUGUGGCCCCAGAAAGCAUCUCUUCACACGUCAGCCUCUGGGUCUAGUUCCCAGGUCGGACCUCUCCAAGAACACUGACUGUUCUGGGCUGGUCCAGCAGGAAAGCCCUGGCCCUGGAGGUGAGGUGGUGGGUGUGGGUGGAGUGGUGUCAAACAAGGUUGGCUUGGUGUUUUUUCCAUUCUGGGGCUGGACAUGGCUGUGGCCAGGUGCAGGGGCCCCAGGUGCACAGGGCCUCAGGAGCUUCUGAAAGGGUGUGGGGUGCACUGCCCAGCAUGCUGGGGAGGAUGGGAGCGAGCGAAAGCAACAGAUGUGCUCUGGGUUCUGUUUUCAGUUCCCCAAAGGGUCCUCUCCUUGACUGAAUCAGUGUGACUGUUGCCAUGACAAUUGCUAUCUUGGUCCUGGGACUCUCCUCAACAAGGUAGCAUUACUUUUUUUGGUGUUCUCAGGCCAGUCACCAUGAAACUCAGUAAUAACCAACCUGGGCUGGGGU